UGAGGAAUAUUGGUCAAUGGGCGCAAGCCUGAACCAGCCAUGCCGCGUGCAGGAAGAAUGCCCUAUGGGUUGUAAACUGCUUUUAUUUGGGAAUAAACCUUCUUACGUGUAAGAAGCUGAAGGUACCAAAUGAAUAAGCACCGGCUAACUCCGUGCCAGCAGCCGCGGUAAUACGGAGGGUGCAAGCGUUAUCCGGAAUCAUUGGGUUUAAAGGGUCCGCAGGCGGGACUAUAAGUCAGUGGUGAAAUCUCAUAGCUUAACUAUGAAACUGCCAUUGAUACUGUAGUUCUUGAAUGUGGUCGAAGUGGGCGGAAUAUGACAUGUAGCGGUGAAAUGCAUAGAUAUGUCAUAGAACACCGAUAGCGAAGGCAGCUCACUAGGCCAUAAUUGACGCUCAUGGACGAAAGCGUGGGGAGCAAACAGG
rnacentral:rRNA from 1 species